GACGGGCCCGCACAAGCAGCGGAGCGUGUGGUUUAAUUCGAUGAUACACGAAGAACCUUACCAGGGUUUGACAUGCUAGUGGUAGGGAUCCGAAAGGUGACCGACCCUCGGGGAGCUAGCACAGGUGCUGCAUGGCUGUCGUCAGCUCGUGUCGUGAGAUGUUCGGUUAAGUCCGCUAACGAGCGCAACCCUUGCUGUGUGUUACAUGUGUCACACGGGACUGCCGGUCUUAAACCGGAGGAAGGUGGGAUGACGUCAAGUCAGCAUGGCCUUUAUGUCCUGGGCUACACACACGCUACAAUGGCCGGUACAAUAGGUUGCGAAGCCGCGAGGCGGAGCCAAUCCUCAAAGCCGGCCUCAGUUCAGAUUGCAGGCUGCAACCCGCCUGCAUGAAGAUGGAGUUGCUAGUAACCGCAGGUCAGCUAUACUGCGGUGAAUACGUUCCCGGGGCUU
rnacentral:rRNA from 1 species